rnacentral:ncRNA from 2 species
AACUAAAUAGGCGAUGACGUUCGCCGUAAAAAUAAUUAAACAUUAAUUUGAUGACGUCUAUUAUUUC